UACGUAGGGUGCAAGCGUUAAUCGGAAUUACUGGGCGUAAAGCGUGCGCAGGCGGUUCGUUGUGUCGGUGGUGAAAGCCCCGGGCUCAACCUGGGAAUGGCCAUGGAAACUGGCGAACUGGAGUGCGGCAGAGGGGGGGUGGAAUUCCGCGUGUAGCAGUGAAAUGCGUAGAGAUGCGGAGGAACACCGAUGGCGAAGGCAGCCCCCCUGGGCUAGCACUGACGCUCAGGCACGAAAGCGUGGGGAGCAAACAGG
rnacentral:rRNA from 1 species